GUUUUAUUUGUGCAUAGAUGUACAAUCAGGCUUGGAAUGCCACAACAGUGAUAGCAAGCAUAUGCAAAGUAAACGGACAAUAUAGUUAGUAAUAGUGCCACACAACAUGAUAUGCGAUUGUGCCUAUCAAGUCACCAAAACUUGCUACUGCACCUAACAGGAUGAGAGUGUCCGCCAUAUAAAUGAAUAUACCGAAAAGAGAGGCAAAGAAAAACCACAAUGGCAGAAUGGUGCUUGCAAUAAUCAUGGAGACUCUUAUUGCAUAAUGUAGAGCUGCGCAAAGCAGCGUUUUAGUG